rnacentral:rRNA from 1 species
UACGUAGGGGGCUAGCGUUGUCCGGAAUCAUUGGGCGUAAAGAGCGCGUAGGCGGCCAGAUAAGUCCGGUGUGAAAGUCAAAGGCUCAACCUUUGAAUGCCGCUGGAAACUGUCUGGCUAGAGUCCGGGAGGGGCGAGUGGAAUUCCUGGUGUAGAGGUGAAAUUCGUAGAUAUUAGGAAGAACACCAGUGGCGAAGGCGGCUCACUGGCCCGGUACUGACGCUGAGGCGCGAAAGCGUGGGGAGCAAACAGG